rnacentral:snoRNA from 1 species
ACGACCUUACUUGAACAGGAUCUGUUUUAUAGGUUGUACAACUGUGUCCUUGAGUGUGAAGGAGACAGGCAACAAAGUCUGGGUGAUGAAACACGACCUCAGGGCCAGAGCGUGAUUGACCGCCCAGAUCUUCUGAGAUCGGAAGGCUGUAGAGGAUCGUUUCCGGCAGGUCUCAUGGCCGGCUGGGAUGGUCCUGAGGUUGUCUGACAGACU